GAAGUAAAAGGGUCGUUGUUUUUCCCUCUAGCGGGACCUCUGUACAGCAGCAGCACAUACCACGGAUAAAAAGUCCCGGGGAAAGGAAAGAAAAGAAAAGAGAAGGCGGCCAUGGAAUCUCUCUAAAAACAUAACAGCCCUCAGGACUUGUUGCCUAUGACAGAAAGAAACAUGCAGACAUCAAUAUGUGAUACCAGGAAGUUCAUCUUUUGCCUAUUCUCCAUCUCCAUAGUCAUUUUGAUCUGCUCCUGUUUCUUCCUGAUGAGAUCUAGCAGUAACUCCUUGCUACCUGAAUCUGUUCUCAUGCUAAUGCUUGCCAAUAACACACAAGUGUUCAAAAGUAGUAGCAAUAGUAGUGUUGGUAAGCUUCCCUAUAUCUCAUCUCCGGUAAUUAUCGAUGCUCAAAGACCUGUAUCAAGAAUCCAAUACAACGCUCGUCAAGGCUCCAAUUCUGACGGGGAGGUUAGGGUUUUAGGAAAAGAGACUAGGAAGGCAUGUGAUCCUAACCAGGCGUUACUAAAGGUUUUCAUGUAUGAUUUGCCUCCAGAAUUUCAUUUUGGGUUGUUGGGUUGGAAGAGCAAAGGUGGUGAAAUAUGGCCGGACGUUGGUAGUAUUGAUAGUAUUCCGGAGUACCCAGGUGGGCUGAAUUUGCAACAUAGUAUGGAGUAUUGGCUUACUCUGGAUCUUCUAUCCUCAAAUGUUCAAGGGGUUGUCAGGCCUUGCAUUGCAGUUAGAGUAAAGGAUUCAAGUCAGGCAGACGUAGUAUUUGUGCCGUUUUUCUCAUCCGUGAGUUACAACAGGUAUUCUAAGCUACAUGGAAAAGAAAAAGUUAGUAAGAACAAGAUGUUGCAGGACAAAUUGGUGGAGUUUCUAGUGAAUCAGGAGGAGUGGAAGAGAUGGCGUGGGAACGAUCAUCUGAUUGUGGCCCACCAUCCGAACAGCAUGUUGGGCGCAAGGUCAAAGUUUGGGUCUGCCAUGUUCGUGCUUGCGGAUUUUGGGAGAUAUCCAGUCGAAAUAGCAAACAUCAAGAAGGACAUAAUUGCUCCUUAUAGGCAUGUUGUGCGUACUGUUGGCAAUGACUCGGCCCCAUUUGAAGGACGGCCAAUCUUGGUGUAUUUUCAAGGAGCAAUCUACAGGAAAGAUGGUGGGGUCAUUCGUCAAGAACUUUACUAUCUUCUUAAAGACGAGAAAGACGUACACUUUGUUUUUGGAAGCGCUCAGGGAAAUGGGAUUAAUAGGGCGGGUCAGGGAAUGAGAUCAUCAAAAUUCUGUCUGAAUAUCGCUGGAGACACCCCCUCCUCGAAUCGCCUUUUUGACGCGAUCGCGAGCCACUGCAUCCCAGUGAUCAUCAGUGAUGAAAUCGAACUCCCUUUCGAAGAUGUCCUGGAUUAUUCCAAAUUCUGCAUCUUUGUACGUGGAUCAGAUGCUGUCAAGAAGGGCUUUCUACUGAAUCUACUUAGAGGAAUCAAGCGCGACGAAUGGACGAUGAUGUGGAAAAGAUUACAGGAAGUCGUCCAUCACUUCGAGUACCAGUACCCAUCACAACAUGGGGAUAGUGUGCAGAUGAUUUGGGAGGCAGUUGCCCGUAAAAUACCAUCUGUCCGGUUGAAACUUCAUAGGGAGAAUAGAUUCCAUCAGUUUCAUCCCAAGAAGAAGCCUAACUAGGUGGAAGGUUCAGAAGGGAAAUCAAAUGAUUCCAAUGCCGACUUGAAUGAUUGGGAUGUGUCCUUGGCCAGCCAGAAAAUCAUCAUGGGAGAUCUUGAUGGAAACCCAUGUCGAUCUCUCUAUUAAAGAUCUUAAGUAAGAAACAGGUGAUGGAAUCAGCAUCUAUUGUGAAUGGGGUCCGACCCUCUUCGAACCUUUCUUUUGCUCGACUGAUUGGGAUCAAACGCCGGAGGCCCAGGUGCCGUUUUCUUCUGGGUGUUCAGGUCAUCGACGGCUACAGCCUUAAGGAUGCGUGGUUUAUCUGCUGCUGCCCUGUCUUCUCCACUCCGUCUGAGAACAAGGUCUGUGCUUCUCAGGCCAGAAACCUUUUCUGUUUGAAGAGCUAUGAACCAAAUACAGACGAGAAUGACAAGAACUUUGUGGCAGGUUGGGACAGUGGAUCCAGACCAUUUAUCUUGUGGGUCGUAUUGGCACAGGUCUAAUGUUGAAAACCAUGCCUACUGGGUGAUCCUACCCAUCAGUUCUUUCUGUUGAAUGCUUGUCAUUAACAUUUUAUUUUUAUUUUUUGGUUACUAUGGUCAAUUUCAUGGCUGCUUUCAUGUGUGUAGAAUGGUCCAUUAUGUGUGAUUUUCAGAAGCGGUCCAUCCAUGGAGAGGACCCACUAGAUGGACGCUCCAGAUGGACUCUCCAAUCGUCUAACCUAUGGGCCAUGCAUCAGAUAUUGGGCAACAAAGCCUGAUCCGGCCAAAGGCAAACUCGCCAGUAAGUACAAGGGGAGUUAUUAGAUACUCUGGCUGUGCAUGAUGCUUGAUACCUAGGCAUUCAGAAAUGAUAUCCGGCCAAAUCCCAUUUAGAAAUUUAGUCGGUUUAAGUCAAAUUUAAACCGAAAAAAUUGUGGAACCCACUAUCGCUUUUCAAAAAUCAAUCCUGACCUCUGAUUCUUGAA